AGUCCUGGGAAAAUCACCUUUCCCCCUUCUCCAGACCAUUGCAGAAUUCUGAAACCGGUGCAUUUCAUUCAAUCGUCUGCUCGCAGAGUAGACGCAUCACCUGCGAGUUCGAUCUUGUCUAAUUGACUUCUGGGGGUUAAUUGUACAAUUCCAGAGGCGGUAAAACCCCUCAGAAGAAUAACGAUGGGUCGGGACAGCUGGUAUAAGAAGAAAAGAAAAAAGAAUACAAAAUGAAAACAUAUCAUUAUAAAAUCACCAACAUUUUUUUGUUAUGAUGCUGACAGUUUAUAAAUUCUUGAUACUAAGGAACAUUUACAUAAUGAAGAACACAUUAAGAGAAAAUAGAAGACUAAACUUUAUGAUUUACUGGAAUUGAUUAUUGAAUACAUGUAUUUAUAACGACUUGCAAGAUUUACAUUAUAUAUCAUGUUUAUGUUUUUGUGCUGUUUUUAAUCCAGUUAUUCAGGAAUUUUUAAACGUUCUAAACUGUGUAACAUCAUCCUACAUACUCUCAUGUUUUUGAAGAUUUUAACUUUUAUUAUGUUUCGUGUUAUUUAUGAAUAACUUCACUUCAACGCUGAAAGGUCUUAACUUUUUAAAUAGAAUUCACAUUUAGUGUGACAUUAGAAAUAGAUUAAUUUCUUCAAUAACUCAUUUUAAAAGCCCUUCAUUAUUUCCACAUUUUCUUUUUUAUAUUUUGCUUCAAUGUAUUUGUCAAUAUGUUUCACUAUUCUAUGGUUAUUGUCUUGUGCUAUUGUCUUCACUCAUGUAUGUGUAAUUUUAAAAUAUGAACAGCGCCAUAAUAUUGUGGUUGCAAAAGCAAAUUUUACCCCGGUGACGAGAACUUUCCAGAUGGGAAUUCUCAACUAUAUGUUUUCUUCUUGUUCUUUGUAUUUAGCUUGUUGUAGCAGCUGCCAUAUUCUCAGAAGUGGCACCAGUUAAGUAAACAAAGAGGUAAAAUACUUCAUUCAUUCCGUGAAUUCAUGAUUUUAAAUACUAAAAAGGAAAUUUAGAAAAACAAAAUAUGUCACUUCUGUAUAUAGUAUCACUACUUAAUUAUGAAGUCGCAUUGACAAAACAGAAAAAUGUCUCCAUGAUGGGUCAAAUUUCUUAUUGAAUUUGAAUAUGGAAAGGAAUCUGAUGUCACUUCUGUAUACUAUAUUAUAAGUACAUAAUUAUAAAGCGACUCUGACAGAAUAAAGAAACGCUCCUUUUUUGGGUCAAAAUUCCUAACUCAUUAAAAGGCACUAUAGAAAAAUAUGUCACUUUGCUAUACUAUAGUAUAAUCAUACUUAUGAAGUGACACCUACAAAAUGUCUCUUACUUGGGACAAAAUUUGUAAUUUUUUACAGAGAUUUUUAACGAGUCAAAUUUAAUUUGGCAUGCUAAUCGUGAAAGUAUUGCCCACUAGUCUAGAAAAAUCUGAUACCGCUUCUGUUUGUGACAGUGUAAUCACAAUAUGUUAUAAAUGAUUUAAAAAAAACUGUUGUGCAUAUAGACUAUUAACUGUUGAUAAUGAAUGGGAAUUUAAUGUUAAACGAAAAGCAAACUUGUUAAUAACUUGUGUGAUGUUUUUUCCCGACAAAAAUAAUAAAAAUUGUUAAAGUUAUGAUGAAUUUAAUGAGAUAUAUCUGAAGUUACAUAAUUAAAAAUUUGAUGUUUAAAAUAUAGAAAAGUCAUUACACAGGCACUUGAGUUACUGUUUGCAUUUUCAUUUAGACUUGCUUUCUAGAAUGCAAAAUUAAAGGCUUGCUUCUUGACAGUCGUGGUUAUGGAUAGAUCGUAAAAAUGCACAGCAAAUUACUCUACAUAUUUAUUCUCUGUUCUAAAACAAUCAGGAAUAAACUUAAGUUAAAAAAACGUUGAACAACCAGAUGCAUGUUAGACAUAAAAAUUAAAAGCCUUUAAGUUAAUUGUUAUAAAAAAGAGUCAUUUUGAUAUCAAAAUCUGAAAAGAGUUUGAAAAAUAUAUAUGUUGCUCAUGAAAAUGUCCUUUAAGAGUGUCAAUUUUUUAAUAAUUCUGUGGAUAGGAAGCACCACUUUCAAGAUGACGACAAGACUGUGGAUUAGUAAAUUUAUAACUUAUUAGUUAAUUUAUAACUUAUUACAAAUUAAAUUAGAUGCUUUGGAAAGCUAUAAUAAAUAUAACAUCUAUGCAUUUACAUUAAUAAUCCGAUUCUCGAGAUGGCUUGAUCAUUAUGGAAUAAAUAUAACAUUCACUUAUAAGUGCUGAACGGCUGAAUAAAAUAUUUCAUUCUUUAUCUUAAAUAAUCUAUUUAAGUCGUUCUGUACUUAUAGCAAGAAAAAUAAUACUUGAGAAUCAGAAUACUACUAUUAUUCAGAAUAUUAUUCUUAUUCUAAUCAGAAUACUGUUCUUAGAAUACUUGAGAAUCAGAAUACUAUUCUUAUUCUAUUCAGAAUAUUAUUCUACUAAAUGGCUAGGUUUAUAAAUUUUUUUAAAUUAAUUUCUUAUUAGGUAUCCACAGAGAGUGGUUGUAACAAAUGUUUCAAAAAGGUUUGCUGAAUCGCCUUCACUGCCAGGUUGCUGACUUCCACGCAAUGAAUUUUAAACUUUGAUGCUUCUGAUGCAUUUAAGGGGUUCACUUUAAUCAUUAACUAAGCUGCACCCGAGGAAAUUUAAUAAAUAAUUUCAAUAUAUAUUAUUCAUCUAUAUUACAGUUUGUUUAUAUUUUUUUAAUAAUACUUUUAUAUUUGACACUGCACUUUAAAACUCAUUGCACUUUUCAGACAUAUUAUUGUUUUUGAAAUAUAUUAUGCAUACAGUUGUAUUGAAAUUGUUGUGAUUGUUUUUAUGUAAGUCAUGUGCUAUGCAUUUUUAUGUAAAUUUGCACUCGUGAUUUUGCUUUGUAGUUUGUUUCUGAUUCAAAAGUCUAAUACAUUUCUGCUUUUGUUCUAAUAAAAAUAUGUUGAUGAUUA